rnacentral:rRNA from 1 species
AUUGAACGCUGGCGGCAGGCCUAACACAUGCAAGUCGAACGAGUGGCGGACGGGUGAGUAAUGUCUGGGAAACUGCCUGAUGGAGGGGGAUAACUACUGGAACCGGUAGCUAAUCCCGCAUACCAUCAGCUGAGACAAGAUUGGAUUAGCUUGUUGGUUGGGUAACGGCUCACCGAGGCCACGAUCCCUGGCGGGUCUGAGAGGAUGACCGGCCACACUGGAACUGAGACACGGUCCAGACUCCUACGGGAGGCAGCAGUGGGGAAUAUUGCACAAUGGGCGCAAGCCUGAUGCAGCCAUGCCGCGUGUAUGAAGAAGGCCUUCGGGUUGUAAAGUACUUUCAGCGGGGAGGCGUUACCCGCAGAAGAAGCACCGGCUAACUCCGUGCCAGCAGCCGCGGUAAUAC